GCAUAAAGCAGUUCACAGUAAGGCAGCUCACUUAUAUCAUCCGAUUGUGGUUGCAUCUCUGGAGCUUUAUGUUGAAUUUUGUUGGCAUUAGGUGAAUUGCAUUGGCAUGUUUCAAAUCAUACUUAUCUGACCAUUAUCACCAAAGAGGUGUCAUUGAUCACAAUUUCAGUAUGUAGUACUGCAAGGCUCAGUACUAGGACCAUUCCCUUUCAUCCUGUACAUGCUACCUUAAGGAGAUUUCAUUAAGAAACCUGAAACUAAUUACGCUGACAAUAGUCUUUAGAUUUUGCUUUGAGGCCAGGUGACACAUACCAAUUAACAAAACUAAUGGAAUGCAUAGUUGAUAUUAAAAUUUAGAUGACUCCCUUUCUACUACUAAAUUCAGAAAUACUGUCUAACUCUUGACCACGAUUUUCCAUCUUAAAAAUAUUUCUAAAUAACAACCUUUAUCUGAAUACUUGUCUACUUGUGAAUGGCCUUCGAUAGAAAAAGAAACUGUUCAGUUUCCUGAUGGUCUAGUUAUGACAUCUACCAGCAGAGGCUAACAGGACCAUGCUAACCAACAAAUCCUUGUGUGUUCAGAUGAGAGAUGAUCUGGAUAAGGCAGAGGACCGGCUGGAGUGGGCAAAUAAUGCACUCAAAAGUGACUGGACCCGCUGGCAAAAGGUCAUGAGGACUGACCUACGAUCAGCCUUCGUCGACACAGCAGAGAGGAACGUCAGCUACUAUGAAAAGUGUUUGGCAGUAUGGGAGUCGUUCUUGCAUUCUCAAAGGACAGACGCUGAAGGAAAUGGAAAUGUUGACUUUUCCUAAUCUCUCGUGGUGCUUUUAUCUGAACGGGACCACCAAAGAUGCUUUUAUUCCUGCAGAAGCCAACAAGAUUCAUAUUUAGAGACCGAGGCACCAAAGAGAGGGAUAGUCACCCUGUACAAACAUAUUCAAACAUUCACCCACUCAACCAGAGAGAUCGAGAGGAGAAUUUCUUUCCGUCAUCUGUACGGCUCACAUUUGAAUUCUUUUGAUAAUGGGAAAAAAUUAUAUUGCCAAAUAUUUUAUACUGAGAUCUAUUUUUCAUUUUUGAUUAUAUAAAUACAACACAUGAGAUGGAAAAAAAAAUAAUGCAAUUCCUGGAAGAUGAAGAUGCACGCAUUAUGGCUUUAUUGCAUCAUCUGACCUUUCUAGUGAGGAUUUUAUCCAUAUGAUGUUUGCUAUUUCAUAUGUCCUGCCCUUUUGCAGAUCAAUGCAAAUGCUUUUUACCUCUUAUCAGAGCUGCCUCGAUGCAAAAACCAGUCAAUUAGAGUAUAAAUAAAUAUAAAUGCACUCUGAAUGGAUGCAUUUCUUGCAUUGGACUGAAUUCAUCAUUGUGCUAUUCCAUUCAGGUUACUGAAGCUGCAUCUUUAUGCAAAAAAAAAAAUCAUAUAUUAAAGAUGCUGACAUUCCAGAAUUGUUUACAUGUAAUUGUAGUGCAUAAAUCAAAAGAAUUUACCUGCUGCCUUUUAAUGUGAAUUGAGUGUAUUGUUUUAGAUUCUUCCAUAUGAUUUAAUGCGGUGCACUAAUUUCAUAAAGUAAUAAAUUGCAACCUGAUUUAAAACCGC